rnacentral:rRNA from 1 species
ACAUCACAGAGGGUGAGAAUCCCGUACGUGGUCGCCUGCCUUCGCCGUGUAAAGCCCCUUCGACGAGUCGAGUUGUUUGGGAAUGCAGCUCUAAAUGGGAGGUAAAUUUCUUCUAAAGCUAAAUACCGGCCAGAGACCGAUAGCGCACAAGUAGAGUGAUCGAAAGAUGAAAAGCACUUUGGAAAGAGAGUCAAACAGCACGUGAAAUUGUUGAAAGGGAAGCGCUUGCAGCCAGACUUGCUCGCAGUUGCUCAUCCGGGUCCGCCCGGAGCACUCUUCUGCGAGCAGGCCAGCAUCAGUUUGGGCGACCGGAUAAAGGCCUCUGUCAUGUAUCUUCCUUCGGGAUGACCUUAUAGGGGAGGCGUAAUGCGGCCAGCCCGGACUGAGGUCCGCGCAUCUGCUAGGAUGCUGGCGUAAUGGCUGUAAGCGGCCCGUCUUGAAACACGGAUCAAGGAGUCUAACAUCUAUGCGAGUGUUUGGGUGUCAAGCCCGGGCGCGUAAUGAAAGUGAACGGAGGUGGGAACCCUCUUCGGGGGGUGCACCAUCGACCGAUCCUGAUGUCUUCGGAUGGAUUUGAGUAAGAGCAUAGCUGUUGGGACCCGAAAGAUGGUGAACUAUGCUUGAAUAGGGUGAAGCCAGAGGAAACUCUGGUGGAGGCUCGCAGCGGUUCUGACGUGCAAAUCGAUCGUCAAAUUUGGGCAUAGGGGCGAAAGACUAAUCGAACUAUCUAGUAGCUGGUUCCUGCCGAAGUUUCCCUCAGAUAGCAGUAACGUAUUCAGUUUUAUGAGGUAAAGCGAAUGAUUAGAGGCCUGGGGGUUGAAACAACCUUCACCUAUUCUCAAACUUUAAAUAUGUAAGAAGUCCUUGUUACUUGAUUGAACGUGGACAUUUGAAUGUACCGUUACUAGUGGGCCAUUUUUGGUAAGCAGAACUGGCGAUGCGGGAUGAACCGAACGCGGGGUUAAGGUGCCAGAAUGCACGCUCAUCAGACACCACAAAAGGUGUUAGUUCAUCUAGACAGCAGGACGGUGGCCAUGGAAGUCGGAAUCCGCUAAGGAGUGUGCAGUACCCGCUGAACUUAAGCAACCCGCAUUCCGGUUUCCAGUAUCCCCAGGCCUAGGCCGCCGUCACA